AACGAACGCUGGCGGCAUGCCUAACACAUGCAAGUCGAACGAGACCUUCGGGUCUAGGGGCGCACGGGUGCGUAAGGCGUGGGAAGCUGCCCUUAGGUUCGGAAUAACUCCCCGAAAGAGGUGCUAAUAACGGAUAAUGUCUUCGGGGCAAAGAUUUAUCGCCUUUGGGUGGGCGCGGGUUGGAUUAGCCGGUUGGUAGGGUAAAAGCAUAUCAAGGCGACGAUGCAUAGCUGGUGGGAGAGGAGGCUAAGCCAGACUGGGAAUGAGGCACAGACCAGAAUCCGACGGGAGGGAGCAGAGGGGAGUACUGGACGAGGGGCGCAAGUCCAAUCCAGCAAUGCGGGGUGAGUGAUGAAGGCGUUAGGGUUGUAAAGUCCUUUUACACGGGAUGAUAAUGACAGUACCGGGAGAAUAAGCUCCGGCUAACUCCGUG
rnacentral:rRNA from 1 species